rnacentral:rRNA from 1 species
UACGUAGGGUGCGAGCGUUAAUCGGAAUUACUGGGCGUAAAGCGUGCGCAGGCGGUUUUGUAAGCCAGAUGUGAAAUCCCCGGGCUUAACCUGGGAAUGGCAUUUGGGACUGCAAGGCUGGAGUACGGCAGAGGAGACUGGAAUUCCGUGGUGUAGGCAGUGAAAUGCGUAGAGAUCAGGAGGAAUACCGAUGGCGAAGGCAGGUCUCUGGGCUGACACUGACGCUCAUGCACGAAAGACGUGGGGAGCAAACAGG